GGAAUCACUGGGCUUAAAGCGCGUGUAGGCGGAGUGCUAAGUACCUUGUGAAAUCCCACGGCUCAACCGUGGAACUGCUUGGUAUACUGGUUCUCUUGAGCCACCUAGAGGCAACCGGAACAAACGGUGGAGCGGUGAAAUGCGUAGAUAUCGUGUGGAACGCCAAUGGUGAAAACAGGUUGCUGGGGGUGUGCUGACGCUGAGACACGAAAGCCAGGGGAGCAAACGGG
rnacentral:rRNA from 1 species